rnacentral:rRNA from 1 species
AACGAACGCUGGCGGCAGGCCUAACACAUGCAAGUCGAACGCCGUAGCAAUACGGAGUGGCAGACGGGUGAGUAACACGUGGGAACGUACCCUUCGGUUCGGGAUAACUCAGGGAAACUUGAGCUAAUACCGGGAUACGUCCGAGAGGAGAAAAGAUUUAUUGCCGAGGGAUCGGCCCGCGUCUGAUUAGCUUGUUGGUGAGGUAACGGCUCACCAAGGCGACGAUCAGUAGCUGGUCGAGAGGAUGAUCAGCCACAUUGGGACUGAGACACGGCCCAAACGUCCUACGGGAGGCAGCAGUGGGGAAUAUUGGACAAGUGGGCGCAAGCCUGAUCCAGCCAUGCCGCGUGAGUGAUGAAGGCCCUAGGGUUGU